CCUACGGGUGGCAGCAGUGGGGAAUAUUGGACAAUGGGGGCAACCCUGAUCCAGCCAUGCCGCGUGUGUGAAGAAGGCCCUCGGGUUGUAAAGCACUUUCAGUGAGGAAGAACGCCUGGUGGUUAAUACCCAUCAGGAAAGACAUCACUCACAGAAGAAGCACCGGCUAACUCCGUACCAGCAGCCGCGGUAAUACGGAGGGUGCGAGCGUUAAUCGGAAUUACUGGGCGUAAAGCGCGCGUAGGUGGCUUGAUAAGCCGGUUGUGAAAGCCCCGGGCUCAACCUGGGAACGGCAUCCGGAACUGUCAAGCUAGAGUGCAGGAGAGGAAGGUAGAAUUCCCGGUGUAGCGGUGAAAUGCGUAGAGAUCGGGAGGAAUACCAGUGGCGAAGGCGGCCUUCUGGACUGACACUGACACUGAGGUGCGAAAGCGUGGGUAGCAAACAGGAUUAGAUACCCCGGUAGUC
rnacentral:rRNA from 1 species